rnacentral:rRNA from 1 species
UUGCUCCUUUGAAGUUAGCGGCGGACGGGUGAGUAACACGUGGGUAACCUACCUAUAAGACUGGAAUAACUUCGGGAAACCGGAGCUAAUGCCGGAUAACAUAUAGAACCGCAUGGUUCUAUAGUGAAAGAUGGUUUUGCUAUCACUUAUAGAUGGACCCGCGCCGUAUUAGCUAGUUGGUAAGGUAAUGGCUUACCAAGGCGACGAUACGUAGCCGACCUGAGAGGGUGAUCGGCCACACUGGAACUGAGACACGGUCCAGACUCCUACGGGAGGCAGCAGUAGGGAAUCUUCCGCAAUGGGCGAAAGCCUGACGGAGCAACGCCGCGUGAGUGAUGAAGGGUUUUCGGAUCGUAAAACUCUGUUAUUAGGGGAAGAACAAAUGCGUAAGUAACUGUGCGCAUCUUGACGGUACCUAAUCAGAAAGCCACGGCUAACUACGUGCCAGCAGCCGCGGUAAUACGUAGGUGGCAAGCGUUAUCCGGAAUUAUUGGGCGUAAAGCGCGCGUAGGCGGUUUCUUAAGUCUGAUGUGAAAGCCCACGGCUCAUCGUGGAGGGUCAUUGGAAACUGGGAAACUUGAUGCAAAGAGGAAAGUGAAUUCCAUGUGUAGCGUGAAUGCCCAAAGAUAUGGAGGAACACGAUGGAGAAGGCAGGUCUUCUGGGCAUUACUGACGCUGAGAGGGGAAAGCAUGGGCAGCGCAACAGGAUUAGAUACCGUGGUAGUCCACGCUAAAAACGAUGACGAUAGGUGUAGGGGGCUUCCACGUCUUUUGUGCAGUAGCUAACGCAUUAACUGCCCCGCGUGGGGAGUACGGCCACGAGGCUAAAACUCAAAAGUAAUUGACGGGGGCCCGCACAAGCGGCGGAGCAUGGGUAUUUAUUCGAUACAACGCGAAGAACCUUACAUGGGCUUAUCAUGUACCGGAUCGAGCUAGAGAUUGUCUUCCCCUUGUGGUCGAAUACAAGUGGUGCAUGGUUGUCGUCAACUCGUGUCGUGAGAUGUUGGGUUAAGUUCCGCAACGAGCGCAACCCUUGUAUUAUAUUGCCAGCACGUUAUGGUGGCAACUCAUGAGAGACUGCCGGGGCUAACUCGGAGAAAGGUGGGGAUGACGUCAAAUCAUCAUGCCCCUUAUGUCCAGGGCUUCACACAUGUUACAAUGGUCGAUACAAGGGGCAGGGACAUCGUGAGGCGAAGCGAAUCCCUGAAAGUCGGCCUUAGUUCGGAUUGGGGUCUGCAACUCGACCCCAUGAAGUCGGAGUCGCUAGUAAUCGCAGAUCAGCAACGCCGCGGUGAAUACGUUCCCGGGCCUUGCACACACCCCCCGUCACCUCAUGAAAGUUGAUCACACCCGAAGCCAGGGGCCACAACUUGGUAGGAAAGCC